CCUACGGGUGGCUGCAGUGAGGAAUAUUGGUCAAUGGACGCAAGUCUGAACCAGCCAUGCCGCGUGCAGGCAGACGGCUCUAUGAGUUGUAAACUGCUUUUGUACGAGGGUAAACGCAGAUACGCGUAUCUGUCUGAAAGUAUCGUAUGAAUAAGGAUCGGCUAACUCCGUGCCAGCAGCCGCGGUAAUACGGAGGAUUAAAGCGUUAUCCGGAUUUAUUGGGUUUAAAGGGGGCGUAGGCUGAGAUGUAAGUCAGCGGUGAAAUGCCCCCGCUCAACGGGGUGAAGUUCCAUUGUUACUGCCUUGCUGGAAUGCGGAUGCCGUGGGGGGAAUGUGUGGUGUAGCGGUAAAAUGCAU
rnacentral:rRNA from 1 species